ensembl:lncRNA
UCUCUCUGCACCUAUCCCGUCCUGGACAUCCUUCUUUGGGCCUCCUUCGCAGCCCAAGACACAGUUAAUGAAGCUGGAGAAUUCAAAGGAUCAGUGGACAAGACGUGCACAUCCAGUCGUAGGUGCUGCUCUUUAAAAACUCUGGUCUGGUGAAUCCGGACUUAAGGACGCCGAAUCUCUGCAGCGGUGAGGGAGAUGGAAUUUUGACGAGGUGCAUGGUUUAAAGAGGAAAUCCUCCGGCAGGGUUUGCGGUUAUCAGGUUAACUUCAGUUUUUUUGCUCUUGAGUUUUCCAUCCUACGAAGCUGGUUCUCUGCUUGCAAAUCACCACGGUAACCUAUGCUGAAAGGCUAACCUGAGAUUCAAAGACGUCAAAGGACUUUCACCAGUCCAACUAUAGUGACCAAUCAGAUCUCUGGAAAAACCAGAGUCAUCGUUCUACAGGAUCCUGACUGGGACAAAAGACUCUGGAGUAACGUGACUAACAAUAAAGCGCAGCAGAGACUGAGCUCAGCAGUGAACCCGCCCACUUUUAGAACGGCGCCAGUUCCGGAAGGGAAAUUCCGAUUCACUAACUCCAUUGACGUUUCAUAAAAUCCUAAUGUUAAGAGUUUUAAGCCUGAUUAAUUAAAACCAAGAUUAAUCUUCAUAAAACAUUUUAUUCUGAGCAACAAAAAAUUAUAAUUGGAAAAUGGAAAAAAAAACAAAGGUACAGUGAAGGAAUUACUCAUCCCAUAAACCAUUGGGAAUGCCUUCCCAACAAUUUCCAACCAAUCAGCGAAGUCGAUGUUACACUUUGGGAUUGUGGGUAGUGUAGUUCUUCUCAAUGACAUCACGAAUAAAACAUUUUUCUCUUUAAACAAGGUUGAUUUCAUCCGGACUUCUACAGGUUCAUAUACCGUCGUUUCACGGCCUCCGAGCUCGUGGUGAUGAAGGUGAUGAAGAGGGCAGCAGAGGACUGUGGCCGUUUGCUCAUCAGCUGCUGUUGGGAUUUAAGCUGCUUAAACGUUAUGGAUCUUUAUGCUGUUGCAACAAGAACAACAACAACAUCAAAAAACAACAACAGCAGCAACAACGACAACAAAAACAACAACAACAACAGCAGCAACAACAACAACAGCAACAACAGCAGCAACAACAACAGCAACAGCAGCAACAACAGCAGCAACAACAACAACAACAGCAACAGCAGCAACAACAACAGCAACAACAGCAGCAGCAACAACAACAACAGCAACAGCAGCAGCAGCAACAACAACAACAACAACAACAGCAAAAAGGCUGAAUUUAGGGUUACACUGUAAACAGGUGUCCGAACAUCGAGGGAAAAACUGGGUUGAUCUUUAUUAUAAUAUAAUAUAAUAUAAUAUAAUAUAAUAUAAUAUAAUAUGAUAUAUUAUAAUAAUCUGUAAAGUGCCUUGAGGUAAUGUCUGUUGUGAUUCGGUGUUAGACGAAGUUAAACAGAAUUUAAUUUAACUCUUUAGCCUUUUUCUAAUUAUCAUGACAACUAGACCAAAUAUGUUCAUAAUAUUAUUAUUAUUAAUCUCCUGUUGUUUAUAAUUGUAAUCUAUUAUUAAAUAUAGAAACGUAUAAUAUAAAACUGCUCUGACUCGACUUCCUGUGACAUCAGGUUCAGAAACACUGACGAGUGUUUGACCCAGACUCUGAAUGUGGAGGCCCAGGAGGCCAGUUUGAUCUGUGUGUGUGUGUGUUUGUGUGUGUGUGUGUGUGUGUGUGUGUGUGUGUGUGUGAGAAGCGCUGAGCGGAUGUAAAGGGAUCAGUGUGUCAGUGGCUGUUUGACAAGCCGAGACAAUACCUGAAACCUGCAGGUCAGCCCCCGCUGAGAGUGUGUGUGUGUCCGUGUGUGUGUGUGCGUGUGUGUGUGUGCUUGCUAUGGGUCACAGCCUCUGCUGUCAUGUCACAGUGUUCCCAUGGCACUUCACAGCCACCUGGAAACACCUGAAGCAGAGCCGAGAGUGUGAGUGUGUGUGUGUGUGUGUGUGUGUGUGUGAGAGAGUGUGUGUGUGAAAAGGAAGAAUGGAUGAAUGAGGAAACAGAAAAGUGAAGGAGGAUGAAAGAAAUGGAGGAGAAGAAGGCGUCAGUCAGUUUUAUCUUUAGGUUGAAAGAGCGAAAAAAAAAAUCUUUGACUCCAUAAAAUUCAUGACAUAAGAUGUCAAAUUAAAAAAAGUUGAGUCUGUACAGCUCCUCAUUAAGUCAUCUGAAAUCACCAGCUCUGUUUGUGUUCUCGACUUGUUCUUCCUUUUGAUUUUAAACCUGGAGGAAAGUGUCGUUUCAAAGGAGGUCAGGGUGCGUUUCAUUCGCUCGCCUGUCGGCGGCGUCACGUCUCCUUUAGUGCAAAAAAAAAGUGACUUCUGAUUCAAUUUCAAGUCAGGUUUUCUUUCAAGGUCUCUGUGGUUUCUGACUCUAUAUUUGAGGCGGUUGAAGGAAGUGAAGUGAUUUGUCUCUGAUGCCAGCUCUCCCCGUAUACAUGAGCGGGGAAGAAUGACGGGAGUAACUCCU